CGCAUCUGUGCAUGCAGCAUAUCAAUAAGCGGAGGAAAAGAAACUAACAAGGAUUCCCCUAGUAACGGCGAGUGAAGCGGGAAGAGCUCAAAUUUGAAAUCUUAAAGGGUUUCCCUUUACGAAUUGUAGUUUAAAGAAGUGUUUUCUGUUGAGGUUUUGGUAAAAGUUCUUUGGAAUAGGACAUCAUAGAGGGUGAGAAUCCCGUAUUUGACCUUUACUUUCAACUUUGUGAUACACUUUCAAAGAGUCGGAUUGUUUGGGAAUGCAGUCCAAAAUGGGUGGUAAAUUUCAUCUAAAGCUAAAUAUUGGCGAGAGACCGAUAGCGAACAAGUACCGUGAGGGAAAGAUGAAAAGAACUUUGAAAAGAGAGUUAAACAGUACGUGAAAUUGUCAAAAGGGAAGCGUUUGACACCAGUGUUGUUUUUCUGAAAAUCAAUUAAAGAACUGUUUAUGCUAAGCUGUUUAGACUUUAUCAGCUAACUGUUUAGUUUUGAGCUUUUCUUUAAUGCACUUUUCAGUUAACAAGUCAACAUCAAUUUCUUUUGCUGUAAAAAAGCUUGAGGAAGGUGGCUUGAGAUUCGUCUUAAGUGUUUAUAGCCUCUUGCCUAUGCAGUCGGAGAGAUUGAGGUCUGCAGCGUAGAUCCUUCGGGGCUAAAUGCAUUUGUGCUAAGUUAUAACAUUUUAUAGACAACUUGUUGACUAUGAUUUGUCUUGUAGCUUACUCGCUUAUGUUAUUUUACCUACGCUUAGGAUGUUGAGCGCAUGUCUCUCUCU
rnacentral:rRNA from 1 species